CCUACGGGGUGCAGCAGUGGGGAAUAUUGGACAAUGGGGGGAACCCUGAUCCAGCCAUGCCGCGUGUGUGAAGAAGGCCCUCGGGUUGUAAAGCACUUUCAGUGAGGAAGAACGCCUGGUGGUUAAUACCCAUCAGGAAAGACAUCACUCACAGAAGAAGCACCGGCUAACUCCGUGCCAGCAGCCGCGGUAAUACGGAGGGUGCGAGCGUUAAUCGGAAUUACUGGGCGUAAAGCGCGCGUAGGUGGCUUGAUAAGCCGGUUGUGAAAGCCCCGGGCUCAACCUGGGAACGGCAUCCGGAACUGUCAAGCUAGAGUGCAGGAGAGGAAGGUAGAAUUCCCGGUGUAGCGGUGAAAUGCGUAGAGAUCGGGAGGAAUACCAGUGGCGAAGGCGGCCUUCUGGACUGACACUGACACUGAGGUGCGAAAGCGUGGGUAGCAAACAGGAUUAGAUACCCGAGUAGUC
rnacentral:rRNA from 1 species